rnacentral:lncRNA from 1 species
CAGAAUGCAGGUUACCGAGGACAUGACCCUUGAUAGGGGAGUCUGGAGGUCUAGAAUCAGGAUUGUAGGCUAGUGGCUCAUAGAGUUCUUCGUUCGUCUCUCCCGGGGGUGGGGUGUGGGAUAGUUGGGUCACCCAUAGGUGAUUAUGGUUGUUAGUAUGGUAGUUACUGCUUGUUAUUAUUGCAUGCGACUGUAUUUAUGUUGCUUAUGUCUUCAGAAUUAUUUAUGUUAUUUUUGCGGGAGUACUUAUGCUUUAUUAUUUUGUUUUGUCUUUGUGUCUCUAAUUUUACCUUUGUUUCUUAAUGCAGCUUCCCCUUUUUUAUCCUAUACGCUGAGGGUCGAUUGGAAACAGC